rnacentral:rRNA from 1 species
UGUAUGCUUUUCCUAAAGACUAAGCCAUGCAUGUCUUCGAAUAAGAGGAAGCAAUUCUCUCUGAAUCUGCGUACGGCUCCGCACACCAGUUGUAAACCAAAGCAAGCAAGCCCGACCCCGAGGCCUUCACAGGUCAAAGGGCCAGGUUACAAGGAUAACCCUGGUAAUUCUGAGGCUAAUACGUGACACGAACCUGUCGACUGGGGGCUUGCCCCUGGGAAGCGGGGGAUGUGCGACUAUCGGGCCAAAAACAACCGGAAAGAGCGCACGUUCAGACCACUCCAAAAAAGGUCUGCAGGAUCCCUCACGGGGUUUUGCGGAUCUUGUGGCUCUUGCACUGUGCUUCUGACCUAUCAACUAGACGGCAGCUUAAGGGACAUGCUUUGGUGGCAACGGGUACAGAGGAUAAGGGUUCGAUCCUGGAGAGUGGGCCUGAGAGAUUGCUCAUACUUCUAAGGAAGGCAGCAGGCGCGCAACGUUCCCAUUGGACAUCGUCUGAGGGCGUUAGGGGAAAUAUUAAUACCUGCCCAAUGGGUGGGUAAUUAAAAUGGGUCUGUUCUAAACAGGCUCUCGAGUAACAAUUAGAGGACAAGUCUGGUGCCAGCACCCGCGGUAAUUCCAGCUCUAAUAGCAUACGUUAAAGUUGUUGCAGUUAAAACGCUCGUAGUCGGCUUCAGAUCACUGGAAGCAGAAGCUGGGACCCUGGUUAGCUGCUCUUCCCAGAGCGCGCCGGGCAACUGGUCGAAGCAGAAGGUGGUCAAAUGGACCCCCAGCGUGCCUGGCUCCGGCUGGGAUCACAGGGCUUGGGGGGGGUUUGCCCGUUAAAAGGUAGGCUCCUCUCUCGCCUGGCUGUGGGUUUCCGCUUACCAUGAAUAAACCAGGGUGCUGCAAGCAGGCCAAUCGGCCUUGCAUGGCACAGCAUGGCAUAAGACCAGCAGGGGUCAGUCUUUGCUCGGGCUGACCCCCUGGACUAAGGAAAAGGGGUGUUCGAGGGUGACCGAAUUGCCGGGCGAGUGGUGAAAUACGUUGACCCUGGCAAGUCGACCUAUGGCGAAAGCUGUCAUCAAGGGCACGCCCGUUGAUCAAGAGCGAAAGUUAAGGGUUCGAAGACGAUCAGAUACCGUCGUAGUCUUAACUAUAAACGAUACUGACUAGGGAUAGGGCAAUGUCCAUUCCGACUCCCCCCGAACUUCGGAGAAAUUAAAGUCUUUGAGUUCCGGGGGGAGUAUG